rfam:Micromonospora sp. NRRL B-16802 P440contig2.1, whole genome shotgun sequence.
CCCGGUUACAUUCCGAACCCGGAAGCUAAGCCCUCCAGCGCCGAUGGUACUGCACUCGUGAGGGUGUGGGAGAGUAGGACACCGCCGGAC